rnacentral:misc_RNA from 1 species
GAAUCUUGGUCUGUUUUGCUUUGUGAUGCACCAAUAUUACUGGGAAGAUGGAUAAAAUAAAGUUCCAAGAUCGCAUUCAAUAUGAAGUUCAUUUUGUUAUAGUGUAACUGGUGUAUUUGUGUUACAUCUAGACUAAAAUUGUUCUUUUCAUGUUAACACCUCUGUGGUAAAAUUUUUCAUGAAGUAAUAACCUUGGCUGGUAAAUUACAUGAGAAGCCUAUUGAGGGUAGAUCUUGGUGCAGCGCUAAGGUUGGUGCCUUGUGACUGGAAGGACAGGAAGGUCAUGGAUUUGGGUUGCGGAAACAACUUUGUCAAAAAGCAAGGGAACUAUUACAGGAGUUAAACAACUGACCCUAAUCCUAGCUUUUGCGCUGGAGGUGUCCUUUUACAUGAGAAGCAUAUUUGCUAUAGAAAUCAGGAAUUCAGUUUAAUUCUGUUUGAUCCCAUUCUCAUAUUUUGGAAUACUUUAAUCAAUAAAACCUAAUAAUUUGUUUUGAAAAUGAUGUUUUUGAU